rnacentral:rRNA from 1 species
UAGGGAAUCUUCCACAAUGGACGAAAGUCUGAUGGAGCAACGCCGCGUGAGUGAUGAAGGGUUUCGGCUCGUAAAACUCUGUUGUUGGAGAAGAACGGGUGUCAGAGUAACUGUUGACAUCGUGACGGUAUCCAACCAGAAAGCCACGGCUAACUACGUGCCAGCAGCCGCGGUAAUACGUAGGUGGCAAGCGUUGUCCGGAUUUAUUGGGCGUAAAGCGAGCGCAGGCGGUUUUUUAGGUCUGAUGUGAAAGCCUUCGGCUUAACCGGAGAAGUGCAUCGGAAACCGGGAGACUUGAGUGCAGAAGAGGACAGUGGAACUCCAUGUGUAGCGGUGAAAUGCGUAGAUAUAUGGAAGAACACCAGUGGCGAAGGCGGCUGUCUGGUCUGCAAACUGACGCUGAGGCUCGAAAGCAUGGGUAGCGAACAGGAUUAGAUACCCUGGUAGUCCAUGCCGUAAACGAUGAGUGCUAAGUGUUGGAGGGUUUCCGCCCUUCAGUGCUGCAGCUAACGCAUUAAGCACUCCGCCUGGGGAGUACGACCGCAAGGUUGAAAC